GGAGCACACAACCCUUUGAAGGUGGGAGCAGCACCUGUUUACACUCAGAGCGGGCCAUUUUCCUGGUUUGGACAGAGCCCAUAACCACACGAGUGCUUUGAAUAUGAUCUGUACUGGGGAAACAAAGCAAAACAGACAAAUUGCAGUGCUCAGGUUCUGCCAAGGGCAGCAGACAGUGAACCACAUGAAGAAGCCUCAAACUAAUGGACUCCCAUAGAUCCAGUGCCUCAGAUGCAGAUGACACUCUGGGAAGGCAGACACCACCUCUCUCCUGCACUCCGCCAUUCUCCAGGAUUGGGAAGGAUUCUGGGCACACAGUAGGCAUUUAUUAAAUAUUCAUUGGAUGAAUAAAUGAUAAAUGAAUAUUCAUUAUCAUUCUCUCCACAUAUUAAAUCAAAUGCUUCAAAACACUGUAGAAUGGGAAUUAAUUGCCUCCCUUAGUCAUUAUUUUUAUCUAUAGCUAUCAUCAAACCUUCACCCACUCAGAGUUAAUAAUUGAAAAACAGACACAUAACAAGUUAGCAGAGAGGAGAGCUCA